rnacentral:rRNA from 1 species
AGUGAACGCUGGCGGCGUGCCUAAUACAUGCAAGUCGAACGAAGUGGCGCACGGGUGGGUAAUAUAUAGUUAAUCUGCCCUACACAGAGGAACAACAGUUGGAAACGGCUGCUACUACCUCAUAGUGUAGGAUGAGACUAUAUCGUAUCAGCUAGUUGUUAAGGUAAUGGCUUACCAAGGCUAUGACGCGUAACUGGUCUGAGAGGAUGAUCAGUAACAUUGGAACGGAGACACGGUCCAAACUCCUACGGGAGGGAGCAGUAAGGAAUAUUGAGCAAGGGGGGAAAACCUGACGCAGCAACGCGGCGUGGAGGAUGACACUUGGCGGAGCGUAAACUCCUUUUAUCAGGAAAGCGGUACCUGAUGAAUAAGCACCGGCUAACUCCGUGCCAGCAGCCGCGGUAAUAC